rnacentral:pre_miRNA from 1 species
CGACUCAAGCGGCUUUCAACGGCGCUAUCAACCGAACUGUGUGUCGCGUGUUGAUAUGUUGUUUGAAUGCCCCUUGAAUCG